rnacentral:rRNA from 1 species
GUAAUAAUCCUGUAGUCGAAAAUGUUGUCUCUCUUGAGUGGAUCCUGAGUACGACGGAGCACGUGAAAUUCCGUCGGAAUCUGGGAGGACCAUCUCCUAAGGCUAAAUACUCUCUAGUGACCGAUAGUGAACCAGUACCGUGAGGGAAAGGUGAAAAGCACCCCGGAAGGGGAGUGAAAUAGAACCUGAAACCGUGUGCUUACAAGUAGUCAGAGCCCGUUAAUGGGUGAUGGCGUGCCUUUUGUAGAAUGAACCGGCGAGUUACGAUUUGAUGCAAGGUUAAGCAGUAAAUGUGGAGCCGUAGCGAAAGCGAGUCUGAAUAGGGCGUUUAGUAUUUGGUCGUAGACCCGAAACCAGGUGAUCUACCCUUGGUCAGGUUGAAGUUCAGGUAACACUGAAUGGAGGACCGAACCGACUUACGUUGAAAAGUGAGCGGAUGAACUGAGGGUAGCGGAGAAAUUCCAAUCGAACCUGGAGAUAGCUGGUUCUCUCCGAAAUAGCUUUAGGGCUAGCCUCAAGUGAUGAUUAUUGGAGGUAGAGCACUGUUUGGACGAGGGGCCCCUCUCGGGUUACCGAAUUCAGACAAACUCCGAAUGCCAAUUAAUUUAACUUGGGAGUCAGAACAUGGGUGAUAAGGUCCGUGUUCGAAAGGGAAACAGCCCAGACCACCAGCUAAGGUCCCAAAAUAUAUGUUAAGUGGAAAAGGAUGUGGCGUUGCCCAGACAACUAGGAUGUUGGCUUAGAAGCAGCCAUCAUUUAAAGAGUGCGUAAUAGCUCACUAGUCGAGUGACACUGCGCCGAAAAUGUACCGGGGCUAAACAUAUUACCGAAGCUGUGGAUUGUCCUUUGGACAAUGGUAGGAGAGCGUUCUAAGGGCGUUGAAGCAUGAUCGUAAGGACAUGUGGAGCGCUUAGAAGUGAGAAUGCCGGUGUGAGUAGCGAAAGACGGGUGAGAAUCCCGUCCACCGAUUGACUAAGGUUUCCAGAGGAAGGCUCGUCCGCUCUGGGUUAGUCGGGUCCUAAGCUGAGGCCGACAGGCGUAGGCGAUGGAUAACAGGUUGAUAUUCCUGUACCACCUAUAAUCGUUUUAAUCGAUGGGGGGGACGCAGUAGGAUAGGCGAAGCGUGCGAUUGGAUUGCACGUCUAAGCAGUAAGGCUGAGUAUUAGGCAAAUCCGGUACUCGUUAAGGCUGAGCUGUGAUGGGGAGAAGACAUUGUGUCUUCGAGUCGUUGAUUUCACACUGCCGAGAAAAGCCUCUAGAUAGAAAAUAGGUGCCCGUACCGCAAACCGAUACAGGUAGUCAAGAUGAGAAUUCUAAGGUGAGCGAGCGAACUCUCGUUAAGGAACUCGGCAAAAUGACCCCGUAACUUCGGGAGAAGGGGUGCUCUUUAGGGUUAACGCCCAGAAGAGCCGCAGUGAAUAGGCCCAAGCGACUGUUUAUCAAAAACACAGGUCUCUGCUAAACCGUAAGGUGAUGUAUAGGGGCUGACGCCUGCCCGGUGCUGGAAGGUUAAGAGGAGUGGUUAGCUUCUGCGAAGCUACGAAUCGAAGCCCCAGUAAACGGCGGCCGUAACUAUAACGGUCCUAAGGUAGCGAAAUUCCUUGUCGGGUAAGUUCCGACCCGCACGAAAGGCGUAACGAUUUGGGCACUGUCUCAACGAGAGACUCGGUGAAAUCAUAGUACCUGUGAAGAUGCAGGUUACCCGCGACAGGACGGAAAGACCCCGUGGAGCUUUACUGUAGCCUGAUAUUGAAAUUCGGCACAGCUUGUACAGGAUAGGUAGGAGCCUUUGAAACGUGAGCGCUAGCUUACGUGGAGGCGCUGGUGGGAUACUACCCUAGCUGUGUUGGCUUUCUAACCCGCACCACUUAUCGUGGUGGGAGACAGUGUCAGGCGGGCAGUUUGACUGGGGCGGUCGCCUCCUAAAAGGUAACGGAGGCGCUCAAAGGUUCCCUCAGAAUGGUUGGAAAUCAUUCAUAGAGUGUAAAGGCAUAAGGGAGCUUGACUGCGAGACCUACAAGUCGAGCAGGGUCGAAAGACGGACUUAGUGAUCCGGUGGUUCCGCAUGGAAGGGCCAUCGCUCAACGGAUAAAAGCUACCCCGGGGAUAACAGGCUUAUCUCCCCCAAGAGUUCACAUCGACGGGGAGGUUUGGCACCUCGAUGUCGGCUCAUCGCAUCCUGGGGCUGUAGUCGGUCCCAAGGGUUGGGCUGUUCGCCCAUUAAAGCGGUACGCGAGCUGGGUUCAGAACGUCGUGAGACAGUUCGGUCCCUAUCCGUCGUGGGCGUAGGAAAUUUGAGAGGAGCUGUCCUUAGUACGAGAGGACCGGGAUGGACAUACCUCUGGUGUACCAGUUGUCGUGCCAACGGCAUAGCUGGGUAGCUAUGUGUGGACGGGAUAAGUGCUGAAAGCAUCUAAGCAUGAAGCCCCCCUCAAGAUGAGAUUUCCCAACUUCGGUUAUAAGAUCCCUCAAAGAUGAUGAGGUUAAUAGGUUCGAGGUGGAAGCAUGGUGACAUGUGGAGCUGACGAAUACUAAUCGAUCGAAGACUUAAUCAA